AUUGAACGCUGGCGGCAUGCCUUACACAUGCAAGUCGAACGGUAACGGGCCUUCGGGUGCCGACGAGUGGCGAACGGGUGAGUAAAACAUCGGAACGUGCCCGAUCGGGGGGGUAAACGAGGCGAAAGUUUUGCUAAUACCCCAAACGAUCUACGGAUGAAAGCAGGGGCCCGCAAGGCCUGUCCCGGACGGAGCGGCCAAUGGCAGAUUAGGUAGUUGGUGGGAUAAAAGCUUACCAAGCCGACGAUCUGUAGCUGGUCUGAGAGGAUGACCAGCCACACUGGGACUGAGACACGGCCCAGACUCCUACGGGAGGCAGCAGUGGGGAAUUUUGGACAAUGGGCGCAAGCCUGAUCCAGCCAUGCCGCGUGCAGGAUGAAGGCCUUCGGGUUGUAAACUGCUUUUGUACGGAACGAAAAGCCUUCUUUUAAUACAGGAGGGUCAUGACGGUACCGUAAGAAUAAGCACCGGCUAACUACGUG
rnacentral:rRNA from 1 species